GGGGCCGUAGCUCAGUUGGGAGAGCGCCGCCUUUGCACGGCGGAGGUCGGGGGUUCGAAUCCCCUCGGCUCCA
rnacentral:tRNA from 1 species